UCCUCAGUAGCUCAGUGGUAGAGCGGUCGGCUAUUAUCCGAUUGGUCGUAGGGGUUCGGUUCGAAUCCUACUUGGGGAG